AGUGAACGCUGGCGGCAUGCUUUACACAUGCAAGUCGAACGGUAACAGGCCGCAAGGUUCUGACUAGUGGCGAACGGUUGAGUAAUGCAUCGGAACGUGCCCAGUCGUGGGGGAUAACUACUCGAAAGAGUAGCUAAUACCGCAUACGAUCUAUGGAUGAAAGCGGGGGACCGUAAGGCCUCGCGCGAUUGUAGCGGCCGAUGUCAGAUUAUGUAGUUGGUGGGGUAAAGGCUCACCAAGCCAACGAUCUGUAGCUGGUCUGAGAGGACAACCAGCCACACUGGGACUGAGACACGGCCCAGACUCCUACGGGAGGCAGCAGUGGGGAAUUUUGGACAAUGGGCGCAAGCCUGAUCCAGCAAUGCCGCGUGCAGGAAGAAGGCCUUCGGGUUGUAAACUGCUUUUGUACGGAACGAAACGGCUCUGGUUAAUACCCGGGGGUAAUGACGGUACCGUAAGAAUAAGCACCGGCUAACUACGUG
rnacentral:rRNA from 1 species